rnacentral:lncRNA from 1 species
AAGCUUUGUCACCACCAGGUCCUACCACCCAUCCGCUGCUCAGGGCCAGCUCCUGAUCCAAGCCCUUCUGGAUGUCCCCAUGCCAUGAGGGGGUCCUGCUAUCCAGGACAAAAGAUCUAAUUUGUGUUUUACCCGAUUUUUUUUGUUUUUGUUUUUGUUUUUUUACACAGGGUUUCCUACAUAGCCCAGGCUAGCCUUGAGCUCCAGGAGAUCCUCCAGCCUCAGCCCACUAAGUGCAGGGAGGCCAGGACUAGAAUUCGAAUUCAAGUCCCACUGACCCAGAAAAACCUGUGCACAGGGGCACCAAGGUCCUCACCUUGGCCAAUCCCAGGUCAGCCCCUCAUGUGUAAGAGAAGAAUUGAAGCCCAGAGAGGGAUCCUGUCCCACUCAAGGACACACAGCAAGUCACUGGCAGGAAGGAGAACA